CCUACGGGAGGCUGCAGUGAGGAAUAUUGGUCAAUGGACGCAAGUCUGAACCAGCCAUGCCGCGUGCAGGAAGACGGCUCUAUGAGUUGUAAACUGCUUUUGUACGAGGGUAAACGCAGAUACGCGUAUCUGUUUGAAAGUAUCGUACGAAUAAGGAUCGGCUAACUCCGUGCCAGCAGCCGCGGUAAUACGGAGGAUUCAAGCGUUAUCCGGAUUUAUUGGGUUUAAAGGGUGCGUAGGCGGGCUGUUAAGUCAGCGGGAAAAGCCCGGGGCUCAACCCCGGCGAGCCGUUGAAACUGGCGGGCUUGAGAUGUCGAGAGGGAUGCGGAAUGCGCAGUGUAGCGGUGAAAUGCUUAGAUAUUGCGCAGAACUCCGAUUGCGAAGGCAGCAUACCGGCGGCGAACUGACGCUGAGGCACGAAAGCGUGGGUAUCGAACAGGAUUAGAUACCCCUGUAGUC
rnacentral:rRNA from 1 species